rnacentral:rRNA from 1 species
GAUGAACGCUGGCGGCGUGCCUAAUACAUGCCAGUCGAGCGAACAGGCGAGGAGCUUGCUCCUCUGACGUUAGCGGCGGACGGGUGAGUAACACGUGGAUAACCUACCUAUAAGACUGGGAUAACUUCGGGAAACCGGAGCUAAUACCGGAUAAUAUAUUGAACCGCAUGGUUCAAUAGUGAAAGACGGUUUUGCUGUCACUUAUAGAUGGAUCCGCGCCGCAUUAGCUAGUUGGUAAGGUAACGGCUUACCAAGGCAACGAUGCGUAGCCGACCUGAGAGGGAGGUCGACCAGACUGGAACUGAGACACAGUCCAGACUCCUACGGGAGGCAGCAGUAGGGAAUCUUCCGCAAUGGACGAGAGCCUGACGGAGCAACGCCGCGUGAGUGAUGAAGGUCUUCGGAUCGUAAAACUCUGUUAUUAGGAAAGAACAAAUGUGUAAGUAACUAUGCACGUCUUGACGGUACCUAAUCAGAAAGCCACGGCUAACUACGUG